CUCGAGACCCACAAAGCCCUGUACAGAUAUGAGGCGCUCUGGAUUAACUUGCCGAAUGAAGGGGUGUGAUUGAGGAAUGAGGCAUACAAUUCUCUUGGCUCUUUUGCAGAACAUUAAGGACCUUCCUGCCCUGAGAUUCUUCCUGCUCUAAGCCACUUGCCCAAGGGUGGAAUUAAGAAUCUCCUCAUCACAGCGUUAUAGGAAUUCGACGUGAUUUUGCACCAUCCCGACCCAGCCCAGGACCUGGCACAGGGAGGGCCCCCAGAAGACUUGAGGCCUCCCUUCCUGCCAGACACUGUGCCCAGCACAGGAGCACAGAUGCCCGAGUCUUAGUUCCUGCCUGCGGGGAGCUUGGGUUAUAAAGUGCAGGGAGCUGAA